CCUGACGACCAUGGCGAGGUGGUCCCACUCCUUCCCAUCCCGAACAGGACAGUGAAACGCCUCUGCGCCGAUGAUAGUGCGGAUUCCCGUGUGAAAGUAGGACAUCGUCAGGC
rnacentral:rRNA from 1 species